rnacentral:rRNA from 1 species
UACGUAGGGGGCAAGCGUUGUCCGGAAUCAUUGGGCGUAAAGAGCGUGUAGGCGGCCUGGUAAGUCCGCUGUGAAAGUCCAGGGCUCAACCCUGGAAUGCCGGUGGAAACUGUCAGGCUCGAGUCCGGAAGAGGCGAGUGGAAUUCCUGGUGUAGCGGUGAAAUGCGCAGAUAUCAGGAGGAACACCAAUGGCGAAGGCAGCUCGCUGGGACGGUACCGACGCUGAGACACGAAAGCGUGGGGAGCAAACAGG